UACGGAGGGUGCAAACGUUGCUCGGAAUCAUUGGGCGUAAAGCGCACGUAGGCGGUCUGAUAAGUCGGAUGUGAAAGCCCUCGGCUCAACCGAGGAAGUGCAUUCGAAACUGCCAGGCUUGAGUACGGAAGAGGGUCUCGGAAUUCCCGGUGUAGAGGUGAAAUUCGUAGAUAUCGGGAGGAACACCAGUGGCGAAGGCGGAGACCUGGGCCGAUACUGACGCUGAGGUGCGAAAGCGUGGGGAGCAAACAG
rnacentral:rRNA from 1 species